CGGCUAUAAUACGUUGAAACACUGGUUCCCGUACGAUCACUGUAGUUAAGCAACGUUGAGCCUGUUCAGUGCGUAGAUGAGUGACCGCUUGGGAAUACAACGAGCUGUA